UUAUUUAUGAUACAAUUCUAAUUACGGAAGUAAAUCCCAUGAUUAACUAAAUAACCACCCUUUUUGUUCUGUUCCUAGAUUUAUGCCAUGAUCUUCGGCCAGUCAUGGAUAUCUCACCUUUCUGUUAUUGUGCUUUGCUCGAUGUUUGUCCCCUUUGGUCUCGAUCGCUACUGGCCUCGAUCUUCGAUAAGUUCCUCGGUCCUAGAAAUUCGGUGCCUUGUCCUCGUACCUUGUUCUGCUCGGUUGCGAGGCCGACCGAUACAAUUCCUUAGCCUCGAUCAAAUAAUAAAAUCGGGCCUACCCGAUUUUUAUCGUAUACAAAUUAUUUACAUAUGCAGUCUUUGGUCUUCUUUCUUGUCCUUUUUCUAGUAGUUCUUGGCCAAAAAUAUCUGCAAACAAAUAAACAUGUUAUAAAUUAGAAGGUUACAUAUUCUUACGGGAAAAUAUGAUAACGAUCACAUGCUUGUUGUAGAAGCGCAGAAGUUGAAAUAUAUAAGAAGGCAAAAGUCGUGAAAUUAGCAUAUUAUAGAUUUAUAAUAUAUGUAUUUGUUGUCAAGAUACAUUCAUCAAAGAUAUGAUACCUUAUCAGUUUCAAGAAGACUAUCAGCUAUAAGCACCUCUCUCAAUAGUAUGUUUCAACUGUACACAUAAAAAGCUCUCUUCUGGAAAAUUCUUUAUCAAAUUGAAUAACAAAUAAAUCAGAGGAUAUUGCAGAAAGUGAUGAAAAUUAAAAAGUUACUAUGAGAGUUACUUUGUUGUUGCAAUUGCCACCCACACAUCAAAGCAAUAAACACAUAAAUUUCUUCUGAAAGAUAAAGCCAAAGCUAAUAGGUCACCAAAAAGAAGAAACCAUUGUCCCCAAUAAAUUAAGAAAAUGAGAAAGAGUUGUUUAAAUUUUUUUUUUUAUCUUUAUCGCAAAAACUUAAAAUUACUUUUAUUACAGCAUCUAAGAAAAGAAAAGGCGCACAACCUUAGCAUCUUUGGAGCAACUCAGAGCAUAUGUCGCUUAACUCUCUCACAAAAAUGAUGAUUCUCUAUUUCAUUUCCUUCAGAAAAUAAGUAACGUAUAGGAGAGAGUGUCCACAUAAAGUUGCUGGAUUUGGAAUGGAAUCUAACAUGUCAUCAAGUGUGAUUGGUCUUGCCACUAUUGCUACCUCAAGAAUAUGCAUCAAUUUACUAUUUAAUCAUAUUUUGAAUGAAGAGCAGUUCAGAUUGUACCCAAAAAUUUCUUUUUCAAAUUAUACCUAACAUCAAUAUCAGUAUCAGUAUCGAGUUGAGAUAAAAAUUUCUGUGAAAAGAAAACCAACAAUGGGGAGAGAGAAUAGGAAAAUUAAGGUUGAAGAUGAAGAGAUGGUUCUUAUAUCACAUUUAUAGCCUUUCAUUUGUAUGAGCUAAGAUUUGUAUUCAUCUGCAACCAAUGAAAAUAAUGAAGCAGAUGCGUGGACAACAAAGAGAAUUACUACUAUAUCUGGAAGCCUCUCCGCUUUUUCCGUAAUUUUGAACUCACUCACAAAGACACCAACACCAUGGUUUCUUGACUCUAAGUUUGAACUUAGAACUAUUAUUUUGAUUCAUUUUCCAUCGAUUUUGAGAUCAGACCAAUUUCACACAAAUUAGCCAUAGCAUGUCAAUAAAACAAAAUCAAUUAGAAAGCUAGAAAAAGCAACCAUGUGUAUUAACAAAGAACGAUUAAAAGAUCAAAGUCAAAAGAAAUUUGCAGAGAAGUUUAAGACCAUAAGGAGCACAUAAAAUCAAAAACUUACAAGAACAAAGAUGAAGCUUCGCCGUUCAAAAUUCAAAAUAAAAAUAUAGAUCAUAAACUAAUUUUGAAAAUACAAUUACCUCGAUGAGCGACAAAGACCCUUAGCUGAAACCUCAAUUUCUCUUGUCAAAAUAUUGCUACAUAUUCCAGACAUCAGAAAUGUAAAUUUUGAGGGUGUAUGAUAAAUUUGUGCAUGUAGACAAACAUUAUGGGGUACAUAGGUGACAAAAUACAAAAUAGAACAAAAGACCAAGCAAUAGACAUCAAAACAAAAAAAAGGAGAAUACUAACAAAGAUGAAAAAUAAACAAUAAAGAAUAAAUAAGAAUACCAGACAAUGGAUCAAAAGCAAAAUAAAAUGAACAAAAGACAUAAACCUGAACACUGUGACCACCACCAGCAUAACCUAGAGGACAAUGAAUGAAAGAUAAGAGAGAAGAGCUCUAUAGAACACUGAUGCAAAACAACUUUCAUUAAUAAUAGUUUUGUGACAACACCUCAACACACAACUACAUUUUACAUGCUUCAAAAAUAUUACAAGUUUUUUCACUUGUCAUUUCAUAAAUAGCUUUGUUUACUCCAAUAAAGAAGGACAAAAAAAAUAGAACCUUUAUGCAUUCUUUCCAAAAUAUUCCUUGGACCAUUGCACCAAGAAAAAAACAUAAAAAAUAUUCAAAAAAGUUUUGAUCAAUGUCACAAGUAGAUCAACUAAUCAAAGCAACAAAAUUUUUCAUAACCAAAAUGUUUUUCAAUCUCACGAUGUGAAUAUGUAUGUCUCACCAUUUAUUCAUUCUUUACUCUUCAUCAAAGAGAUUUUAUUUGUUAAAAUAGAAAAAAUAAUAUUUUUUAUUUCUUUAUCCAAGUCUAUUAGAUUGUCACCAAAGUAGAGACAGGAGAUAACCAAUUUCAUGAACUUCUAACAAUAUCUAUAUAUGGAUAGGACGAAACAGACAAAUGCCAAAACAUAAUAGUUUCAAAUAUUUAUUUGCUAUCCAUAUCAGUAGUUUUCUCAUAAGAUUCAACUUCUAAAAAAAUUCAUUCGGCUUAACAAAUGAUGAGUUCUCAAACUCAUCCUUAUGUUCCCCGAUUGGAUUUGUGAGCCCUGAAAAGCCAAUCAAUUAAAGGAUGUCCAUUUAGAUAGUUGAAGUCCAUAUUAUAUUAUUUUCUAGGUUGCCACCAACUGCCUAGGGAAGGUCCUUUCGGUAACUUCUUGAAAACCUUCACAGACAUGCUGAGAUACUUGGGCACUUGUGCCAUUAAAAGGGGCAAGAUAAUUUGCAUUGGAUAACUUUGUUUCAUAAUUAUGGACAUUCUCAAUAUGUCUCGCGGAUAUAAAGAGGAAAUUCCAAAUCUAAUAUUCUCUAAUUGUGUGUUAUGCUAUUUCUUAUAUGUCUUUCCUUCAAUUAGAUUGCUUCUUGUAUGUCAAUAAAGAUAAUCAGAAUAAAAGAGUGGUGCAUCAGAACAAGCUGAAGAUGAUAUUAAACCAAUUGAGAGUAACAUAAAUAGUGAAGAGCCAACAUCUCAGGCAGAUGGUUAUGAUGAAAAACUUGACAUCAACGACAUGCCCAUGGAAGAGAUUCAGGUACUUUAAUAUCUUUGCGAUUGCUGUAUGAAAAUUGUGGAAAAAGAGAGCCAAAAGAAAAAAGAUUUUAAAAGAUGUAGUGUGAUUUUUUGCAUUUUCAUUUGUUGUACGAAUGGCUUGGAGCUUUUUUAAAUGAGAAUUGGAAGAUAUAUGGCAGUUGUAGGUUCCAUCUUUUCUUAAAGAAAUAGGAUUCACACUAUGAUUUCAUACAACUAAUAUUUCAUUUAUUUGGUUCUAUUUUUCUUUUUUUGGUUUUAUUUGAUCUUUGUUUUGUUAUAGUGCUUCCUGACCUGCCAGAUUUUAGAUUCUUAACCUUUUUUUUUUCUUUUUUUUUUGUGUCGAUGCCAUUAUUUAGCUUCUCAUGAAGUGUUUUUGAGAAAAUAGGUCAUGAUUUCUCUCCCCUCACUUGUUUUUCUUGUGUUUGAACUUUCAUUUGGUUAUGCACUCCUAUUUUCUAGCUCCAAAUGCAAUACAGAUUUCAUGAGUCUAAUGAUGAACACACGAGAUAAUGUGCACGAGUGUCUGAAUUGUGUUUCUGUAUUUCAGAAGAAGAUUAAAUUUCAAAAAAAUCAUUUCCGAGCAUAAAUAUUCCCCCCCCCCAAACUAAUAUGAAAAAAUUGCAGUAGUUUUGUGCCGGUUGGUGUAAGGAUUUUGAAAAAAAUCUGGAUUUGUAAUUAAGUACACUAACAUCAUGUCGCCACGAUAUAUUCCGAGUAGAGGAAUAUCCAGAAAGCAGUCACAAAAUUAAGCUUAACCGCAUUCAAAAGCAACAACAAGAUGUGGCUUCACUUGCAUCCCAAAAUAGUAGCAAAAGAUGUUUCACUGGCGAAAGUGCUAACAAAUGAUAGUCGUUUAAGUUAUCUGUUUUUUCUACAAAGUUGAAUCUUAUAUUAAAUUUAGAAGGAACAAAAAUUUCAAAUACCUCUCAGCAGUUUUUCGGAGGAGAAAUUUUCAUUUCCGUCUUACAUUUGUUGUAGGAACCAUUGCCUUUGCUUGUUGUGUGUGGGUGCUGUUAUUUCUCUGUGGCAACAUGUUCAAUUUUUUGUUUACUUCCUUCUGCAACGUCUUUGAUGGUGGCUGGCAUUUGUGAGAUAACCAAAUUACUUUUGUUCAUGAAAGACAAAAUAACUAACUUUCCUGGCAGUGCCUCAUUGUUUCUUGUAAACAACUUUUUUAUUUGAAUCUUGAAGAUCUUGCCCGUCAGUAGCUUUUGCGCGUUCAUAAGAGGCAACAGUUCUUUCUAAAAAGAUAAAAUUGGUUAUUUAUGUGUGAGAGGAGGCUUAACUUGGAGAAGAUACUUGUUUGUGAUUUUUUGAAGUUAACAAUGUACCUUGACAUUACAGUUAUCAUAAAUCUCUUUCGAAGUGAGAAGUAAUAUUUUUUCUGCAUGCUCGUUGGAAAUAGUUGAUGUUGUAGAACCGCUCUAAUCUGUGAGCGUGACUUCAAAUUGGCACCUAAUUAUAAGAUAAAAUGAUAGUUGGUGGAGGCUGAAAUUCAUAGUCAGCUAUCGAUAAUAGGAAAGACCUAUUUUUAUACUAUUUUGUCCAGAAAAAACAAGCAACAAGAGCAUUACAAGUAUUAAAAUAGAAAAUAUAAUUAUCUUACCAACUUGUACUUAAUAACUUUUUAUCUUUCUUUUUUAUUCUCUUUUCUUCAAAUGCUUCUUAUUUCUUAAUAAAAGCUUGGGCUAUUUUUAUCUUAUGUAAUUUGAUUUUUAAUUCAUCCAACUAACAAGCAAGGAAUCAAACUAAAUUUUGUUUCUAUAUCCAGCAGUGUCUUCAUCCUCUUGACUGACUUUUAUUUAUAGGUUAUCUAACAUGGUGAUUACUUUUACAGCCUUUCUUUGGUAUGUUUGGUUAUGGAGUACCUGUUGCAUCUAUGCAUUUGGAAAGGUAUGUCUUGCUAAAGUUUAUUAUGGCUUCAUUUUGGACAAAAUGAAGGACUUAUUUUUCAUUAUGCUGCCUUUUUGUAGACGAGCCUUAUGUAUGCGGCGAAAUCAGAAGACUUAAUUUCUCGCUAUCAAGCCACUUCAGAAGAAUACCUCGAGGCCCCGAGGACGUGGAGCUGCGACUAAGUCCCCUCCCUCGGGGCUCGUCGAGACCCGACCCAAAGAAGAUGAAGGACGAGGCUACAGCAAAAGGGGAAGUUCUCAAGGCACACGGCUAAGUCUGACAAAGCCGGCCUAUACAGAGCCUAUGCCGAAGCAUCACGUCUAGCCGUCCCAUCCAUACUUUACAAUUAAUCCAUGUUGUACUAUAACCGGGUUCCCNNNNNNNNNNNNNNNNNNNNNNNNNUGAUUAUUUUCUUGCUGAUUUCAUUGCACAAAAGCAAGUUAUCUUUCACACUUUUUCUUGUCCAAGAUCCCUUGAUUUCAGGUUGAAAUGUCUGGCUCGGUAAACGGGGUUAAGAACGACUACCUCGAAAAUCAUGAAGAAAACGGUAUGGUUGUUCCAGUCAUUGGCACGCCACCGCAGAACCCCGAUAACGCACCUAGACCGAUUCUAGCAGAUGCGGCUUUGCAAGACGCGUAGCGGGUCGACGAAACCUCGCGCACCAACGGAAGCAUACAACAUGGCGACCAACAGUGAACCCCAAAAGACCCCAGCCCAGGAAGAACAAGAAGUUAGUCUUCAUGUUAUUUUUGAAAUGUUGCAGGCACAACAGUUGGCUAUCGCUCGGUUACAAAGCCAUCCGAAGACUCCCAGCACAGCAGCGCCGGAAACAACUCCCCCUGCUGAGAAAGUAACCGAGAGAUCAAGCAAUAACAGAUCGGUAGCCGACCUUGCCAUAACAAAGAUGCUUGGGGAUCUCUCCAAAAGGAUCGAAUCGGGUUCGUGGAAGUUCGUGCAACGGCCGUUCCCCGAGGAAGCGGCCCCGGAACCCAUUUCAAAGAAGUCCAGAAUGCCAGAACUCCCCAAGUACAAUGGGACCUCAGAUCCCAACGAACACAUCACCGCCUAUACGUGCGCGGGAAAAGGCAACGACCCAAAAGAUAAUGAGAUCGAGCCCGUCUUAUUGAAGAGGUUCAGGGAAACACUCUCGAACGAAACCAUGAUGUGGUGUCAUAACCUAGUGCCCGACCCCAUAAACUCGCUUACCAUACCGGCAGAUUCCUCCAUAAAGACACACGCCGAUGCAAUCGAAGCAGCGAUGAGAGAGCCCGACACAUCCAGGGCCGAACAAAGGAAGAAUGAAACGCCACGGGAAUUCGCACCUCAUUCCCUGAUGGAACGAACGAGAUUACCCCAGUCUCAGAUGACUGGGCAAUACAGGCCUUCACUCAAAGCCUAAACAAACCAAGCCCGACGAUUUCAGGGUAGUUCAAACAAAACUUGAUCAGGUACCCAGCCAAGACCUGGUCGGAUGCCCGUACCCGGCAUCAGUCGCAAAUCAGGGUAAUGGAUGACCAUCCGGGAGCCUCCUCGGGCUCAGCUUACCCAAACAGGCUCCUGGAAAAGAAACCAAUGCCAAACAGAGGGAGGUACCGCCCGUGCACAACAGAUAAGAGAAACGCCCCAAAAUGCAAUCUACCUCGCAACGAUCGGGGAAUGGCCCAAGGACAAUAUCCUCGAGGAAUCGUUAACAAAGCCAGAUUCGACGAGGAUGCCUGGCCGACAAGGGCGCCUCUCCCAUCAGAGUACAAUUUCCACAUCGCUAUACCAAACAUCGUGUUCCCCGUGGGCGAAACUAGGGACGUCAAAUGGCUCGGACCAAUUCGGUCGAAUUCCUCUCAAAGGAAUCACAUCCUAGCGCGGGAACUACAUAGCAAGUGCAGUCGCGGGGUCGAAGAUAACCACCAGCUCCGAAGGAAAGAUACCAAGCCACUCGACAAAAAUCACCGCCGAGAAUUGACGAGCGACCAAAUUCAAGUUCAGUCCCUGGUAUGGAAGGCGGCCAGGAGGAAUGAAGCAAACAGGCGGCAGCGCAUUACCACGAUAAUGGAGGAGCGACGACCCUUUCCAAGAACUUGUAAAAGGGAGAGCAAAAUUUCUCGUCACCGGAGAAAGGCAGAUCUGGGGAUAUACCCCAAGGACGCCCUUACAUUCAGCAAAGAGGGUACCAAUACCUCAUCUCGACCUCACAAUGACGCACUGGUAACCUUCUUCCUCACUCGAUCCAUUUUAAAUAAAAUAUGUGCACAUGAGUGCAGGUGGCUCGAUCAGCACUGUCAGGCCAAGGAUGAUGGGGCGAUUCAAACCGCCGGGUCAAAACACAACCACCUCUCGAAUCUUUGACGGACUCUAAACGGCGAUUGCUACGACAAGGAGAAAGACCAUUCUCCUAGUACAACAUGACUGGCCCAGACCGGAAUGCCGAGUUCUAUGUCAUCAAAGGAGGCGCAAGGCACGGACGCCUUAUUCAGAUGACCGCGGGCAUAUCGCCCGAAGAUAGGGUCGUCCCCACUUCGCCAAAAGGAUGAAAUUCCACGCAAGGGAUGAAAUUAAAACCGUUGGUAGGAAGCGAUACGUGACAAGGGGAAAUUCCGCAUCACAUGACGCAUUGCUGGAACCAAUAUCUCCACUCUCAAAAGAGUCAAAGGGUAAGCGAACCACAUCUUUGGCCAAACCCAAUUAAACACAGCGGAGGGCUGUACUGGAGUCCAUAUCCCGAAACAGCAGGAACACACCAAAUCUUAGAAUAUCGCCUGCACAUCCGGCGGUAAAGAAAAAAACUACCUCCCUCCUUCUUUAUUUUUCACUAACAUGUAUGCAGACACCCUGUUAGGGCAUUCGGGAGUGCUAACUCUAUCCGGAGACCCCAAGGCCUUAACAGAACCCGCCACGCUCUUUUCCCUUGAUCGGACUUCUACCCCGAAGAGGGUCUAACUAGCAAGGUUCUUAGCAGAGCAGCGUACCCACUGAGGAGUAUCCGAUAAGAUCGCAGGCCUUCUUCAGCAAUCAAACAAUGAAGGGCACCCCCCUUGAAGGCGUUGUCUGCUCGGAAGGGCCGGGGAAUGACAGACUGAGUUUUAAUAGGGAAUCAUGUACCGGACCAAACAAUCCAAGGAGCCGCACCCGCGUGAGCCGAGCUCACAACAAUGAAACGAUAUGUAUUUACGCCAAGCAAUAAAAGAAUAUAUUUCAGCAUCUUAUACUCCAAAAAAGCAAAUUUCAGCAUACUCUCGGCAGGUAUCCCUCCACCAAAUGCAUCCCGAAAUACUCGGAGACUCAACGUCAAUAAUUUGGCACCCGCACGACCCUAGGGUCGGAACUCCGAGCUCAUGAAGCCCCAGCAAGGGAACUCCGAGCUCAUGAAACCCCAACAAGGUAACUCCGAGCUCAAAAAUAGCGGCCUUCGAGCCUAAGCAAACUCGAUGACUCGGAGACUAUCACCAAUCACCAUACACUGGAAAACCCGAGGCCGUAAGACCCCAAGUGGGUAGACUCGGUCUAGCCAGAUCUAUUUUACACAACAACAAAACUGUAAGACCUCAACAGGCAUGCCAAACUAUAAGACCUCAACAGGCAUGAAAAUUUUGUAAGACUUACUACAGGCAUACAACUCAAUCCCAAAGUUUACGCUAUACGUCACAUUUGUAAGAAUCCUGAAAGGGCAUACCUCGGUGUAGACGCCUAAAAUAUCACUCGGGAUAAAAAAAGGCUCCAGCCAAACACAUAUGACUGGGGUCAAAACGGUUGCUCCAGCCAAAUUAACGCGACUCGGGGACGCCCGACUGUCACUAACAUAAUCGCAGGCCAUUACUUCGAAAAGAACCGGUUAAAACAGGCUUCCCUCAACAGGCAAACGAGCUUCGACCAUGUCUGCUCCAAAUCACAAGGUUUCGAGAUACUCAUCCUACAAGCUAAGAACCUUCUGAGGUGCUCGAAUAUCGCCGCUAACAACUUGAAAUUGAGGUUCUUCCCGAACCGACGACGGGUCAGGCAAAAUCAUUUCAAAAAGGCCUUAACGAGAGGAAAACAAAGCCUACAAAAAUGCCCACAAGCAAAAGCGUAAGAGCCAUUGUUGCCAGCCAAACGAUCCUCCGGGCCGCACACUAAAAGGUCUCAACAAUCAAACAACAUAAGAGCCACUGUCGCCAACUUGAAAUUUGAAAACUUGAGGAUUAAAAUGAGCUCGAGUCAUAACCCGAUUCGGAGAUCGGAUCCAAAAUAGGUAACUACAAAUGCCUAAGGGAACAGCGUAAGUGCUAUUGUCGCCAACCAAACAAGCCUCCGGGCCACACUCUUAAAAGGUCGCUUCGACCCGAAACACAAGAGCCAUCAUCACCGCCCAUGCGGGCACGAAAAAACUUGAGGGUCAAUUAAAGCUCGAGUCGUAACGUGACUCGGAGACUGAACCCAAAAUAGUUGAAACAAUAAAUGCCAAAGGGCAAGGAAUAAGAGCAAAUUAUCAUCCGCCCAUGCAGGCACAAAAAAACUUGAGGGUCAGUUAAAGCUCGAGUCAUAACACGACUCGGAGACUGAACCCAAAAUAGUUGAAAUAACAAAUGCCCGACAAGCUCGAGUCAUAGCCUGACUUGGAGAAUAUGCCUAAACAGCUGAGCAAAGCACAAAGGCCCUGAAGCCUACUCGCAUCAAAAAUCUCACUUAAGAGUAUCCGAGCCUAUCUAGAGAGCUCCGGAUCCAUAGGGCUCCUGCCAGAUACCGAAACCAGCCCGCCUGGUCAAAAGCAAUGCAUAAAGAAAUACAAAAGAGAUAAAGCUUCAAAUUUUCUCUUAUUUACAUAUGCAAAAGGCACGCUCUCUAUCUACAAACAUGCUUUGCAAAUAUCAAAUACAAAAUGCAAAAAUGGCGAAAUCUAUGCUCCGCUCCAGAAGGUUACAGUCUACCAGCCCCAGAUUUGCUCUCCGUGACAUCAACGAGAAGUGACCGAGCAUCGCGCUCGUCCGCCCUUGCUCGAGCCAACUCCUCCGAGAGAACGAAGCCCCUAGCGCCGAUCUCUUCGAGUACCUCCCUUCGGGAUCUGUAACGAACAUAUUCCUCGAUCCUAUUCUCACGAUCGAGGGCUCGCUUCAACUCGGCUCGAGCAUCAGCAACAUCCUUCCUAUGAAUCGCCAUCUCCUGAUCAGCCUUGGUCUGACUUAAUGCUACUUCAGCCUGGGCAUCGAUUAUCUCAGCCCUGACCUUCGAGAGAUCGGACUCGAGCUUCGUGAUCAUAUCUGCUUGAACUAUAGCAUUGUCACAAGCCAAGCGGAGUUGGGCCUCGAAGGCGGGAACCUUGGCCAAGGCGCCCCUCUCUUCUAAAGCUUGAGCCUACACCUGAGCCCUCAGUUCACUGCAAGCAUUUCUGACUCGGUCAGCUUCGACUUUAAGGUACUCCAAAGCCUCCAUCUUUUUCUGCAGCUAAAAUAGGCAAAGAGAUUAACCUUAAGGAUUAAAAAGAGCGAAACAUGUAAUACGAAAGGUUACCUGCUCCAUCAAAUAGCUCUCGUAAUUCGAGCUCCGAUACGCCUCAUAUCGCCAGUGCAUCAAUUCAACCUCCUUCUCCUCGUUAAGGAGCCUAAGGGACUCACCCUUAUCCAGAGCUUUCCGAAGCCUAGCCCCAUGACAGAGAAGCUCAGACCUGAGCCUAUCAAAGGCCUGCAAAAGAAAAACUCGAUAAAGAAAGAAAGACGCGAAAUACGGAAAGACUGCGCCGAAACUCACCAUGAAGUGAAGCCGACGGACUUCCUCGAAGGCGGAGCAUACUUCUGUUGGUCUUGCCCCUUUGGCCCCGGAAGAACCAACCUCGGGCAAAGCAUAUUCACUUGGAAGAACCACCGUUCUGGAAUCAAACACUCCGAGAACAGUAGGCUCGGGCAACAUCCUCUUCUCGAAGACACGGGCCAAUUGAGCCCAUUAAAAGCCCCACCACACUAUGGGUGCAAAUACCGUUUAUCGCCAUCGUCCCUCAGCUCGGAGGCCGACGACUCUUUCCCUUCUCUGAAAGAGCGUAGCCUCGCCCCAAAGAACCGCCCGAUACCUACAACGGCAAAGCCGGUACAAAAGAAAAGAGGAAAAUGUCAUCUCAAAUAUAUGAAGACCAAGGUAGGUGUAGCAUACGCGCAUACGCUAGUAUUUCGCUUCCCAUCUGUCACGGGACACAGCUCGCCACCUACGCUCAUCGCAAGCCGAAUGGGUCGCCAACUUCCGGACCUAUCCGGGCAGAUCGAGAACUUUGCCCGGUGUUCAUGAAGUUGCUGCAAAAAGGGAGGAGACACAAUUACCCAACUGGUUUUCACUAUAAGCAAAUCUAAGGAAGCACAAGACACUCCACUCACGCGCGUAAUCCCAUUCCUCGGGAAAUGGCAUGAGCUCCACGGGGAUAAUGUCAGCCGUCCAGACCCGAACGAAUCGACUGACCCACUUUUGAUCCCUAUCUUCUUCAUCAUCGACAACAAAUGGCAUGGACGAACGACACCACAAGGUUAACAUGCCUCGAUGAUGAAAGGGUCGGUACAGCCUGACGAGGUGGCUGAACAUGAAUUCAAGCCUAGUCUUCUCUACAAAGAACCUCAUCAUCAGCACCAGUCACCAGAACAACGGAUCUGCGCCAAAGUAACCCAUACUUCAAGCAUAAAUUAAGCACGACCCUAUCAAGAGGGCCAAAUGCAAAAGGAUAUAUGUAUGCGUUCAAGAAUCCAUCAGCAGAGUCCGUAAUACUCUCAUCCGGGGAAAGCACCUGCAACAUUAUCCCCUCGCUCCAUCCGCAGUAUCUCCUCACCAUCUCCAUAUGUUCUUCUCUUAUCAAAGACGUAGUCUUUAGAGUGAACUCCCGCGGAUCCUGAACGCUGGGAGUGGAACUCUCCCCUCCCUGUCGGGCCGGCCCCGAAGUAGCUGCCAUGGCUAUGGUAGAAUUGACAGACUAAAGCAAGGACGUGCGCCAAUGCCUUUUGUGCCUGAAGAGACGAAGGACCCGAUUCCAGGGCGGAGGGAUUGCUAUCUAAAAUAAUGAGAUCUCCCAAAGAAGCAAAAGCCACCCACAUAUUUGUGGAAAACAACAACGAUUCACCUAUCCAGAGUAAGCCCUGGGAGACCAACGGCCUUGGUACAAAUCCUGGGGUGGUACCCGACCCCAGAGGCAUCCAUCGAAAAGAAGUUAGGACUCAAGAAGUCAAUUGUAUCAUUUCCAAUCUCGAGGUAGUGCCCGACCUCGAGGAUCUCCGCCAAAAAAGAAGUCAGGCUUCGGGAAGCCUUCAACGCCAUCAUAGAACUCGAGGCGGUACCCGAUCUCAUGGUUUACCUUUCUAAAAAGAAAAAUAAGCACACGAAGCUCCGAUCAUGAAGGCUCUAGAAGGGCUUGAGGCAUCGCCUAAGCAUAGGCAACCCCUCAACGAAAGUCUAUCCACUACGCUUUAAAAGGCUAUCUGCAUCAAGUUCAAAACAGACCCCCCAAGUACCCGAAGCUGACAUUCGCUCAGGAUACCACUCUCGAAAGCUCCAAAACUCAACGUACUAUCUCCAUGCAACUCGAAGGGCCCGACAGCCCGAGUCUAUCAGAUCAAUUCAAGCUUGGUCCGAGGUACAACGAUGGGCUCUAAAAAGAGCCAUGUCAAUCGGCAGAGGAUUGGAAAGAACGCUCGCAUCCAAGUUAGAUGUCAGCGGUCAACAUCAAAGGAAUUCAAAGGCCUCGCAGCGCAUGGGACAUACAAUAAUAGGGCAAAAUUCAAAAACAGAAAUCAAGGAAAUAUCUUUGUAUUCAUAAAUAUCCAUGUACAACAGCCCUCGAAGGGUCCUCACAUAUAAUUACAAAAGCCUACAGAGGAUCUCUACACAAAAACGGUGGAAGGAUGUACAUGUGAUGAAACCCGAGAAUGCGGUCCAUCCUCGAAGGUCCAUCUCCGGUAUCAGCAUCCUCGAGCGCCGCCCCCUCGAGCUCGCAUCCUCGAGGGCGAUUCCUUCAACCGCCAUCUCCUCUAGGCUCGCAGCUCAAUCCCGCGGAAGGUCCCCGCCGAGGGAAAAGAUGAAGAAGAGGAAAAGAAGGGGAUGCAGAGGAGGCAAAGAAAAGAGACAUGGCCCGCCAAAGCUCGGCGGCCCCCAGCCUCAACGGCUGGUGGUGCCAUUUUAUCCCUUGGGAAAGGAAAACUCCAAGGGAUGAAGUUCCACACCAGGCCUAGGUAGGAGAGUGAGCAGCGAUGCAUAGUCCGAAUAACUGUCUAUAAAAAAGGGAGAACCAAUUCCCCGUCUAUCUCUGUCUCGGGCCAACGACAACAGCAACAAUAGACGUAACAACAACCACAACAGUGACGGGACAACAUGGUCGUGCUCGACAAAGAGAAGCUCCGGCAAAAGGCCACAACACAGCCUACGGGAGCUCUACCAAUCGGCCUUGAGGCCAUGAGCCCCAAACAUAAUGUUCAAGGAUAGAGGAAGAUGAUAAGAAAAAAUGGGCAAAUGAGCCAACAAAGGUACAUGGAUAGAAAAAACAACGCCAAAGCACCCCCAUUUAUAGGGGGUACCGACACGGUCAUCGAGGCUUUGGAAGAUUGACCGGCGAACGCAAUUACUGCGUUCUUGAAGAACCGAAUCGACGGCGGAGCAUUCAUCUUGGAGAACGGGAAUCGACAGUGCAUUGAAUGAUGUCAAAUACACAAGCCCAUGGGACACCCCGGUUGCCGCAAAAGCUUGCACCACAGGUUGGAAGCUCGUGGAGUCAGGUGUCAGAAUCAUUUCCUAUCGCUUCGUUCUGGGAAACGCGGAGACUAUCUGUAUGCGGCAAAAUCGGAGGACUUAAUUUCUCUCUAUCAAGCCACUUCGAAAGAAUACCUCGAGGCCCCGAGGACGUGGAGUUGCGACCAAGUCCCCUCCCUCGGGGCUCGUCGAGACCUGACCCAAAAAAGACGAAGGACAAGGCUAGAGCAGAAGGGGAAGUUCCCAAGGUACACAACUAAGUCUGUCAAAGCCGGCCUAUCCAGAGCCUAUGUCGAAGCGUCACGUCUGGCCAUCUCAUCUCCAUACUUUACAAUUAAUGCAUGUUGUACUAUAACCGGGUUUCCCUCCUAUAUAAAGAGAACCCACACUACUUUGUAAAGGGUUGAUGUUGCUCCAACUAUUCUCCACAAGAUCAAUAAUAUCUCUCUCUCUUUUCUCUCUAACUUGCUCGUUCUUAUUAGCUAGAGGUCACUCUUAACGUUUAUUGUUUUCAUACUUGUUCUUUGUUUAUUGCUUGGUAUUGGCCAUAAAGAGCCUUGUUUGAUCAUACCUUAACUGUUAUCCCAUUCCCAACUACCCCCGAUAGCUCGAGCUCGAGCCAGAUAUCGACCUCGAGGUCCUUUAUCGACCAGUCCGAGGCUCGGGUUGCAAGCAUCUCGGUUUCAUUACUGCCCCGCUUUAGCUCGUAUUUCUUUGUUAAACUUCAUAAUCUUAGCAUCAACUGCUCUAACAACUAGCAUAAAAAUAGAUCACAUAUUUUUAGAAUCCCGUUUACAAAUUUAAUUGUUGUUACCUUUUUCACGGUAAACACCUCAGUUUCUUCAAAGACAAAGGAUUCUAAGAAAGUAUUUGUGUUACAUCUUGAGAGAGAAUCUCUGCUCAGCUGUUCUUGUGCUCAUCGGAAUAAGAUGGAGAUCAUCUAUUGGAACUUGCUUUGAAGAGGCGUUAGGGCCUAUGUCUACUCCAAAGAAUAUGAUUGUACAGAAUAAUGUGAGAGAGUAAAGUUUUGAGGUGGAAGAAAAGACUGCUUAGGCCGCUCAAUAUAAUUAAUAGUCUAAAGUUAAAGUUUAAUAAGAGAUCUUAAAUCUUUUAAAAAAAAAUUAUAUAUGUACAUAUACACAUGUUGCCUGACUUUUUUUUUACGUAACUUUACAUAAUAAUAUAAUUAUUUAUAUUAAUAAGGGUUAAUUUGAGUUAUAAGACGUUAGCUAUAUAUUUUGCAAUAUAUUGCCUUGGAUCUUGGUGUAAAAAAAAAUUAUUUACUAAUAUAAAAAUUUAAGUAACUUAAAUUAAAGUUUUAAAAUACAUUUACUAUGAAAGCAGACAAUUUUUCUUUCUUGAUAAACUACUAAGUUUGGUCUUUCAGAAUACAAAUACUAUCAAUAUUAGCUAAUUCAUAAAAUAUUAUCAAUAAUAGCUUAAUUGGCUAUCUGUAUUCUUCUCCUUCUUUUCAAUCUACCUUCCCUCUCGUCUUUUUUUCCUCCCGUAGCCUAUUGGCAGAAUAAGAGCAAUUUUAACAGGUACUUAUGGGUGUGUUUGGUAUUAUCUAAAUUCUUAUAUCUAUCUAUAAGUGUGACAUAAGUGAUACAUAAACGCGUUUCCAAUACAAUUUUGAUAUGGGGCUAAAAACUUAGUCUGACAACUGAGACUAACAACUAGGAUUAGGGGUGUUCAAAUCGAACUGGAAAAUCGCACCAAACCAAAAAGUCAAGUCAAAUCGAUUAAAAAACCCGAUUAGGUUUGGUUUGAUUUGGUUUAGUAUUGAGUAAAAAAAUCUGAACCAACCCGACAUAUAAAUACAUAAUUUUUAUAUAUAUUCUUAAAUUUUUAGCCGAGGGUCUAUUGGAAACAACCUCUCUACCUUCGGGGAUAAGGUAUGCGUACACUCCACUCUCCCCAUACCCCACUUGUGGAAAUUCACUGAGCUUGUUGUUGUAAUCAAAUCUAAGAGACAUUUCCUUAAAUAUUCGACUUUGACACCAAUAUUGUUAAAUUCUGAGCAAAUUAAAUGUGAUGGACUGAAAAUACUCAGAGUAUACUUAAGGGGACUUUUUGAACCUAUACGCAAACAUAAGGGACCAUUAAUGUCAUUUUCUGCUGACUCAUACAUCUCAUAAAACUAGAUAAUUUUCGGCCCGUGCAAAAACGCGGACCUGACAAUUUCAGUUUUGAUAUAAUUCGUUUGUAGGGGAACAGUUAGCCACUAAAUAGAAAUGGCUUAACUAUUUAGUCACUGUUUAAAUGUAUUUACUCUUUAAUAGUGCUUUAUAGUUAUAUAAGUCAAACCCUUAAAGCAAUUUAAUACUUAGAAAAUAAUAGCUAUAAGUUCCCAAAUACAAAAGUGAGGCGCAAUCUGUCCUCGGGUGAAUAACAAUCUUUUUUAUUUGAAAGUUCAGGCAAAUAACACUAAAGAAAACUAUUUCUUAUACAGAUGCAGGAAAUAAUUUCAAAAUAUGUUUCAAACAAGAGUUGCGAGUUCAAGUCACCCAAGAACAAGGUGGGGAGUUCUUGGAGGGAAUGAUGUCAAGGGUCUAUUUGGAAAUAGCCUCUCUACCCCAGGAUAAGGGUAAGGUCUGCGUACACACUACCUUUCCCAGACUCCACUAAUGGGAUUAUAGUGAGUUGUUGUUGUUGUAUGCUUUGGUUUCAAGCACCGUGAACUUUGCUCCCUUUUCUAAUUACAUCCACAAAGACAACCACGCAGUGUCAGACAAAAAACAAUUUUCGUCCAAAGACACUGAAUUGUUUUCUUGAUUUCAAUUCAUCUUCGCCAAAAUAAAAUUUGAGCUGCAAACAAUUCCAUAAAAAAAAAAUCCUAAAUUAAGACUUGCUGAGUAUCAGCCUCCCAUUUAGCGCCUACAGGACUCGCAGCCUUCGAUUUAGUAUAUAUCAGCCUUGAAAUUGUAUUAAAAAUACAAUUUUACCAUCCGAUUUAACACACACUUGCCAUAAGAUUGCAAAGUUAAAAAUCAUAUAGAGAACCCAAAAGAAAAUAGGGCAGAAAUUAAAAGAAGAGAAAAAGGAUCUGGAGAAAAUCAGAAAAGAACUACAACAAUCACUGAACUUCAGAAUCAAAACUAACAAUGAUGAAGAGAACCUAGAAGAAACCGAAAAUGGAAAAAGAAAGAAGGAAAAAGUAGAAAAAAGAUAAGUGCAAAAUUGAUUGAACGCAUACCUGCAGCAAGAUUUGUACGCGAAGAGAAUUAAAGAAAGGAGCAAACAAAUGGAGUACAGUCAAACCUCUCUAUAAUAACAUCGUUUGUUCUGAAUAUUUUUGGAUGUUAUAGCAAAGUGUUGUUAUAUAGAGCAUAUAUUAUAACAUAAUUUAAAAAUUGGUUCCAAAAAAGUUUGACUUUUAUAGUAAGGUGUUGUUAUAUAGGGAAGUUGUUAUAGAGAUGCUCUCACUGUAUAUCUUUGAGAGAAACUGAAGAGACCUGAGAAACAAACGAAGGAAUAAGAUACGCGGCUAAGAAAGAAAGGAAAGAAGAU
rnacentral:lncRNA from 1 species